UUGGUCGUGCCACUGGUACGUACUGGUCUUACUGAUUCCUCCCUCCUGAUGAACUGUAAUGCCAUUAAUUUGGUGUUGCAGGGAAUCUGGACUGUUACUUUGAAAAAAUUAGAGUGUUUAAAGCAGGCUAACGCUUGAAUACAUUAGCAUGGAAUAAUGAAAUAGGACGCUCGAUCCUAUUUUGUUGGUUUCUAGGAUUGACGUAAUGAUUAAUAGGGAUAGUUGGGGGCAUUAGUAUUCAAUUGUCAGAGGUGAAAUUCUUGGAUUUAUUGAAGGCUAACUACUGCGAAAGCAUUUGCCAAGGAUGUUUCCAUUAAUCAAAACGAAAGUUAGGGGAUCGAAGACGAUCAGAUACCGUCGUAGUCUUAACCAUAAACUAUGCCGACUAGGGAUCGGAUGAUGUUAAUUUUUUAAUGACUCAUUCGGCGCCUUACGGGAAAC
rnacentral:rRNA from 2 species